rnacentral:rRNA from 1 species
UUGGUGGGGUGAUGGCCUACCAAGGCGACGACGGGUAGCCGGCCUGAGAGGGUGUCCGGCCACACUGGGACUGAGAUACGGCCCAGACUCCUACGGGAGGCAGCAGUGGGGAAUAUUGCACAAUGGGCGCAAGCCUGAUGCAGCGACGCCGCGUGGGGGAUGACGGCCUUCGGGUUGUAAACCUCUUUCACCAUCGGCGAAGCCCAUAGCUUGUGUUGUGGGUGACGGUAGGUGGAGAAGAAGCACCGGCCAACUACGUGCCAGCAGCCGCGGUAAUACGUAGGGUGCGAGCGUUGUCCGGAAUUACUGGGCGUAAAGAGCUCGUAGGUGGUUUGUCGCGUUGUCCGUGAAAUUCCCUGGCUUAACUGGGGGCGUGCGGGCGAUACGGGCAGACUGGAGUACUGCAGGGGAGACUGGAAUUCCUGGUGUAGCGGUGGAAUGCGCAGAUAUCAGGAGGAACACCGGUGGCGAAGGCGGGUCUCUGGGCAGUAACUGACGCUGAGGAGCGAAAGCGUGGGGAGCGAACAGGAUUAGAUACCCUGGUAGUCCACGCCAUAAACGGUGGGUACUAGGUGUGGGUUUCCUUCCUUGGGAUCCGUGCCGUAGCUAACGCAUUAAGUACCCCGCCUGGGGAGUACGGC